CUCUUCGCAAAAGAAACAAUAUUAAUCUUUGCACGCGUACAGACGCAACGUACCAUGGAACGUUAUACCUGCGAAGUAAUAGGGUGUCUCAUAACUCUGUUACUGCCGAUUAAUGGCGUGCAGUUUGGACUUAGCUGAGUCGCAAAGUCCUGUACCAUUUUGGGAUUUUCGCAAUAAUAACCGAGUUAUUAAACGAUUAAAGUAAUCGAAUGAGAGCGCGGCUCGUGCAACGCAUUCGGUAGGAAGGCCGCGCGCUCGUGGUUGGUUUCGGCGCAGUGAGGUAGCGGUGCCAGAAAGCGUGCUUCGUAGCAUGUGGUGAGGAUAUUCACUACUCUUCUUUUAUUAAUCUCUCAAAAGUGUACGCGCUUAAUUGUAAAAUGAUAUAGGAUACUUUUUAAUCCAGCUUAAUGAGAUCUACCUGCAGGAGAGUGAUUGGACACUUUACAUGGGACACCCUGUACAGUAUAUGUAGAUACGCGCAUAUAUCUUAAAUUACUUAUCAAUUAGCAAAAUGUGCAAAAUGUUUCUCAUAUGAAAUAUCUUAUAUUUUUAAUGAUUCUACUAAAAAUAUGAAUUCAAUUCACAUCUAUACAAUUAUUUUUAUAUCAUUCUACUUACGAGGUCCAAAAAGUAAUGAGACAAAUGCUAUAAAAACUAAAACUAUAUUUUUAAUCUAAAUUCACAUGUUCCUUUUCAAAAUAGUCCCCAUUGAAUGCAACACACUUUUCCUAGCACUUAGUUCUCCACUUUUGGAAGAAGAAAUCUGAGCAAUCUUUGAAAAGCUUUGUACUGCGCCUUCACCGCUUUUACAACCUCUUUAUCCUCGCUGUUUGGACUCAUGCCCAGUCCCGCAACUUGCUUUAAAUGUAGUUUAAGUCAUUGAACCUCGUUUUAAAUAAAUAUCACGUUUUACAACUGCUACAAACCACGGUUAAAGUCGAUUUUCAUGGUUAAAUUUAAACGCCACAUUAGGUGUUUAAUGAAUAUAAACGAAGUUUAAUACUGUAGCGUCACCAAUUGCAGCGUCAAAAUUUGUAUUGCAACGUCUUUAUUUAGCAAUCUUAGGAACCAAUCACAUUCGAUGUUUCAAAAGAAAUAGAAAUCUUUAACAGCUUCUACAAACUAGAUUUAGCUAACCUAUAGUUAAAACCACGAUGUGGACCGUAAUACAAAAUUAACCAUAGUUUUAAAUGUAACAGGCCCGUUUCUACCAAUGUCGUUUAACUUUAAUUAUAGUUUAAUUCACCCUUCGUCUCUUUCUAAGGCAGGUAGUUAAAAAAAGACGACGAGUGAGUUAAAUUAAGGUUAAAGUUAAGCGACAUUGGUAGAAACGGGCCUCAGUCAUUCAGUUAAGCUCGGUUUAAAUUCGAUUUCGGAAUUAAGCCUAAGGGUUACUACCUGAAAACGAUCGGAAUGGAAUUUUCAAAGUUGAUAGAAGAGAUGUUCAGAUAGGUAUAAGAGAUGUACAUGUAAAUAUACAGUCCUACUAGUUUCUCUUUUUUUCAUUUCUCUUGCAGGACCAGUCUCAUUACUUUUCGGAUCGCCUAUAUAUUUUUCUGCAGUACCAAAUCUUAUCAAUUUAAAUGUCUUGUUGCAGUGAUGAAUAAAAACAUUUAAUAAUUGUGAGACUUAAUUUUUAGUCUUACUCCAAACAGAUUAAGGCUCAAACAAAUUACAAUAAUCGCUAUUAUAAGAAAGCAUAUUCCCUCGAAGUUAUAUAGAAAGAAUUCAGUAAACCUAUGAAAAAAA